CUGCCCUUAACUCUGGGAUAAGCCUGGGAAACUGGGUCUAAUACCGGAUAGGAGCGCCUACCGCAUGGUGGGUGUUGGAAAGAUUUAUCGGUUUUGGAUGGACUCGCGGCCUAUCAGCUUGUUGGUGAGGUAAUGGCUCACCAAGGCGACGACGGGUAGCCGGCCUGAGAGGGUGACCGGCCACACUGGGACUGAGACACGGCCCAGACUCCUACGGGAGGCAGCAGUGGGGAAUAUUGCACAAUGGGCGCAAGCCUGAUGCAGCGACGCCGCGUGAGGGAUGACGGCCUUCGGGUUGUAAACCUCUUUCAGUAGGGAAGAAGCGAAAGUGACGGUACCUGCAGAAGAAGCACCGGCUAACUACGUGCCAGCAGCCGCGGUAAUACGUAGGGUGCGAGCGUUAUCCGGAAUUAUUGGGCGUAAAGAGCUCGUAGGCGGUUUGUCGCGUCUGUCGUGAAAGUCCGGGGCUUAACCCCGGAUCUGCGGUGGGUACGGGCAGACUAGAGUGCAGUAGGGGAGACUGGAAUUCCUGGUGUAGCGGUGGAAUGCGCAGAUAUCAGGAGGAACACCGAUGGCGAAGGCAGGUCUCUGGGCUGUAACUGACGCUGAGGAGCGAAAGCAUGGGGAGCGAACAGGAUUAGAUACCCUGGUAGUCCAUGCCGUAAACGUUGGGCACUAGGUGUGGGGACCAUUCCACGGUUUCCGCGCCGCAGCUAACGCAUUAAGUGCCCCGCCUGGGGAGUACGGCCGCAAGGCUAAAA
rnacentral:rRNA from 1 species